UGUCCUGUAGUGCAAUGAGUCAGUGUGUCUGGCUGUUAACCAAAAAGGUUGGUGGUUCCAGCCCACCCAGGGAUAG